CCUCCUUUCUUCCUCCUUGCGGCAUCUUGGUCAAUGGCCGGAAGGCUGAACCAGCCAUGCCGCGUGAAGGUCAGUGCCCUAUGGGCGUUAAACUUCUUUUGUGCGGGAGCAAUAAUGGUCACGUGUGGCCAGACGAGAGUACCGUACGAAUAAGCAUCGGCUAACUCCGUGCCAGCAGCCGCGGUAAUACGGGGGAUGCAAGCGUUAUCCGGAUUGAUUGGGUUUAAGGGGUGCGUAGGCUGUGAGGUAAGUCAGCGGUGAAAUGCCCCCGCUCAACGGGGUGAAGUGCCAUUGAUACUGCCUUGCUGGAAUGCGGAUGCCGUGGGAGGAAUGUGUGGUGUAGCGGUGAAAUGCAUAGAUAUCACACAGAACACCGAUUGCGAAGGCAUCUCACGAAUCCGCGAUUGACGCUGAUGCACGAAAGCGUGGGUAUCAAACAGGAUUAGAUACCCUGGUAGUC
rnacentral:rRNA from 1 species